GACGCAGAAGCCUGAAAAGGAAGAGGGUUUUGGCAACAUUGAAAGUUGAGCGGUUGUUGAACAGCUCAGUAAGGAAGUAUCCCCAGAAGAUGCAGACAAAUUAAUUCCUGAAGAGUUGAAAAGGGUUAUGAAAUGAGAUGCUCCAAUGUCAGAGGAUCUAGUUGCUGAUAACAUUGUACCACUGGAUUCUCCAUCUUCAACAAGUAUAAUUGUUUCUUUUCCUGAGCAUUCAGAUACCACAGUGGAUUGCCAAAGUUGCCUAAUACCUUCUCUGUGCCAGCAACAAGGACUGCAGACGUACUAGAUUUUUUGCAGUAUGUAUUUGGAUUUCAGGGGCUGACUAUCCUUGCUUUCAACAAAAGGAAGUUCAAUUCAAAGACCUUAAAUGAGCUAGUGUAUGGACAUUGUCAUGAUGUAUGGGGCACAUUCAACAACUCGUCGUUUAGCUGUGAUGAGAAUUGUUCUCCGUUUUCUUUGGUUUGGUGUUGCUUCAGCAUUUGUGUCAUAUCUUUAUGUGAAGGGACUUCCAAAUCCAAAGUCUGUUUUCUACAAGACCUACAUCUUUGUUCUAAUUGCAUAUGCAAGUGUCCAGCUGGCCUUUAGCCUACUCAUGCGCAUUCCAGCCUGUCAUAGGCUGACAAACCGAUGUGAUCAAUGGCUUGUUAGGAGAUUUAUCAAGUGGAUGCAUCAGGAAAGCCAUUAUGUUGGAUGAGGAAUGUAUGAGCGAACAACUGACUUUAUCAAAUCUUCAGUAUGUGGAUGAAGGGAAGACACCCUUGAUCUUGUUUUGUGCUACUGUUGGUGGAGACUUAGGCCUGCACAGAUGGUGUAGGCAUACGUGAGAAAGCUAAUAGGAAGACUGCUACCAUCCAGAUCUAAUAAGCCAAAAGAACAGCUUCUGCUAAUAAAUGGGAGGACAGAAGAUGAAGUUGCAAGGAGCUUGGAAAGGGUGUUGCUUACAAUGCGAAUAAGCACCUCAGAGCCUAAGGUUUUGAGGAGUGCUUUCAAAAAGAUGCACAUCUAUGUUCAUCAGGUUAUUCGUAUGAAUGGAAUGAGUAGUAUAUACCAUGUUGCAUGGAUACUUAUGUUACAUUGGUUUGAAACACAGUCUUGAGGUUCUUGGAGUUGCUGCAAUAGAAGACCGCCUGCAGGAAGGUGUUCCUGAAACAAUCGAUCUGCUUCGUGAGGCUGGAAUCAACUUUUGGAUGCUUACUGGUGAUAAACAAAAUACAGCCAUUCAGAUAGCGCUCUCUUGCAGCCUAAUUUCUCUUG